rnacentral:rRNA from 1 species
UAGUCCUACGGGGGGCAGCAGUAGGGAAUCUUCGGCAAUGGGGGCAACCCUGACCGAGCAACGCCGCGUGAGUGAAGAAGGUUUUCGGAUCGUAAAGCUCUGUUGUAAGAGAAGAACGUGUGUGAGAGUGGAAAGUUCACACAGUGACGGUAACUUACCAGAAAGGGACGGCUAACUACGUGCCAGCAGCCGCGGUAAUACGUAGGUCCCGAGCGUUAUCCGGAUUUAUUGGGCGUAAAGCGAGCGCAGGCGGUUGGGUUAGUCUUGAGUUAAAGGCUUGUGCUUAAAC